GUGCGAGUAACUCGAGAGCGCGCCGAGAAAGGGGAGAAGGAGGGAGGACGGGAGCGCAGGAGAGCCGAGGAGGACGCGGAGCGCGGCGAACGGCCUUCCCCGGAGAGUCGCCCCGGUCGGCCGUCCCUCCCGCAAGCGGUUUGGGGACGAUCGACCCCAGUAAAUCCUGCCUCCCGCAAUGAAACGUGGCGGUUAGACUUCAGAGCGGUCCAGCUACCGUCCGUCCGCCCGCCCGCCCCGUCGACUCCCGUUCUUUAGACCAGCAAGUAUUCCGUAGAGCAGGACCUGCACGCACACACACCAUUUAGCAAAGCGUAGUUAUCCUACAAAUAAUAAGUAGUGAAAUAAAUGAGAAAAUCAACAAGUACAAGUGAGACAGACGCUGCAACCGAAGUGAGGACGGUUGAAGAAGCGCAGUGACUCGCUGGGGAGAUAACAGGCACUCGAGUGGCAUAAUGGAGGCGGCGGAUGGUGUCUCGUAAGAAGGACCCUGAAAAGCGGCUCUUUGUGCGCCACAACUCCGCGAUCGGGCGACCGGAGGCGCGAGCCACCGUCUAGAGCGGACUCGGACGUAGCCGGGCGGGGUCGGAGCAGCCUGGCGUGCGAGCGGCCCGCGUCGCCGACGGUCAGCGGGUUCGCAAGCGACACGACCGCUUCUCCGUCGCUGCCGCGUGCUCCCCGCACGCACGCCGCGAGGCUUUACGGGCCCCGGGGGCGAAAGCUGCGCCGAGCGCCGAAACGCUCCCUCGAGCGCGAGUCGCUCUCCGAACACGCUUCUUACGACGACGCGAGGGAUCGCGGCCCGCGUGCGGCGCAUCGGAUCGACCGCUUCCAAACGAGGGCCCGCGGAUCUUCGGGACGCGGAGAGGAGCGCGGCUCCCCGACGCCGGCUUCGCCAACGGCACCUCGUCUCCUCAGACCUGAGAAACGCUCCAAAAGCACCAACGAAGCGCUGCAAGUCUGCAAAUGCUGGUACUGGGCUGCCCGCCCCUGCCACGGGUCGGGUCGGGUUCGGUUCGGUUCUCUCCUCUCCAACUUUGGCUACUCUGACCUGGGACGAGCGAACCCUCGGCCAACCUUCGGACACCCCCGUCGCCGUGCAAAAACUAACGUUCGUCCGUCAUCGAUACGCACGGGUCCAAACGCUGGGUCGCCGUGGCCCGCGCCGUGGCUCUCGGUGUCGAGGAGCGAGGGCCACUUGGCCGAAGCGAAAGGUGGUGACGCGUGGUCCGAGGCUGCGGAGCUUCAGUUUCAAGCGAGGCUCGCAGUUUAGUCGUUUCCCCUUUUUUGUCAUGUGGGUUGAGGCUGGAACUCGCGCCGUUAAGUGAACUUUAACUGCGAGAUUAAAACUGGUUUGUGCCGUUUUAUCAGAAAUUAAAACGAAAUUCUACAUUUUUCACGGGGCAGCCGAUAGCGUAGGUGAGAGCGGCUGCCUUCGGACCUGAAGGCGGGAGGUUUGAAUCCCACCUGCCGUUACACGUGAUCCGAUGGCUCGAAGCUCAUACUAUUAUACCAUACGACAUAUAUCAUACAACGUAUUACAUACAUUAAACCUGCGUAACCACGCUAAGCAAA